GUCAGGUCUCCCCAUCAAGGCUCCCCAGGCAGCUUGGCCACUAAGGGACUCUGGGGAAGUCAGGCCUGUGGCCCUGGGAGGAAGGAAAACUCAGAGAUGGGUCAGCUGAGGAGGCAGAGAGCAGUCAUUUUGAAUAACUAGGUGAAGCCACUCCAUGAGCUGUCAUUCAAGAGGGCUGCAGCCACCCCCAGUCUUCAGGUUUCUCUGAAGCUCCUGUCCCCUAAGGUUGCCCCAGGUUGGCUGGUGGCUCCCCAGUCAUGGUGGGAUUUCAGAGGCUCUGACAUACGUCUUCCCCCAACCUGGAACACCACACCACCUUCCGGCCCAGGUCUGAAUCCCUCACGUUAAAUUCACACUCUGCCUUAGUGGCUGGAUGCUCAUCAAAGGAGACACGCACAGCCCCGGGGGGCUCGAGGGCCCCUCCGUGAGUCGUCACGGGUUGACGGGUACAGACAAGUAUGACAAACCCUUUCCUGAGAGCCUGUUUGGACUGCAACGGGGAGAAGGUGCCUCCACAGCAUGGCUGACAAGUGGAGCGGGUCCACGCCCAGGAUCUGAACCCUGGCUGACGAAGUGGAGUGCUCAGAACUUUAACCACUUGGUCCCGGGGCUGGCCGGCCCCCAAAAGAGGUCUUCACUUUGCAGAAGAAAAAGCUGAAACUUGAAGAGGUUGCCUAAAGACACUGAACAUUUUGGGGGGAAGGCAGCAAAGAGCACAACUUUUGGAGUCCCCUGGACCUGGAUUCAAAUCCCACCUCUGCCACUCACUUCCCUGUGGCCUUAGACAAGGUACGUAACUUGUUGGGUCCUGCUUCUCUAAAGUGGCAAUCAUAGCAGAUAACGUGCAGAGUGUCUUAGUUAACAUCUUCUUUAGUUGCAGGUGGCAGAGACCCAACUUGAACUGGUGGAGAAUGCUGGGGACAUAACAGAGCAACCAUGGCUGGGUCACAAAAGGGGCCCCUGGAGACAGGAGUCAUUUGGUGC
rnacentral:lncRNA from 1 species